rnacentral:rRNA from 1 species
CGGACGGGUGAGUAAUGUCUGGGAAACUGCCUGAUGGGGGGGGAUAACUACUGGAAACGGUAGCUAAUACCGCAUAACGUCGCAAGACCAAAGAGGGGACCUUCGGGCCUCUUGCCAUCGGAUGUGCCCAGAUGGGAUUAGCUAGUAGGUGGGGUAACGGCUCACCUAGGCGACGAUCCCUAGCUGGUCUGAGAGGAUGACCAGCCACACUGGAACUGAGACACGGUCCAG